AGACGUGCUUAGAAGGCAGCUGAGCACACAGUGGGUGUCAAUCAAUGGGAACCCUCACUAGCAAUAGUAACGGAAUAUUCCAUUUGACCAAACAUCAAGGCUGACGUCUGACAAUGUCUUGCUCAAGUACAUUGACUCAUUUUUCCGAAAAAAUAAAUCUAAUUUUCAGCCUUUUCCUAGGACAGGUCCCUCAAUGGAAUGGCUCAAACAUUGUUCAGACACAGGGACCAUGUCCCUGCAAAGGACAUAAACUCAUUCUUUUUUUACAGCAAUUGGACUUUUGUUGGACAUUUAUUUCGUUUUUGGCUCUUAUCAACAAAACUGCAGUGAAUACCCUUAUUCCUUAUUUUUGAUAACUACCUUUGGAUGGAUGCCUAGAAGUGGUUCUCUUGACCCAUAUGUAUGGCAGAGUUUUGGCCUCAAUUGACCUUUUCUUUGGUAGUGUAUGACAGGGCUUGACUUACAAUCCAGCCUAUAUAGCUGGAUCCAGCCUAUUUACAGUAGUAAAUACUACUCACAAUCCAGCCUAUUUAACAGUAGUAAAAUACUACUGUUAAAAAGCCUUGCUGAUUAGAUAGGGAAAAACAGUUUCUUGGAUUUUUGUUUGUUUCUGAGACAGGGUCUGGCUCUGUCACCCAGGUUGGAGUGCAGUGGCACAAUUCUAGCUCACUGCAGCCUCUAUCUCCUGGGCUUAAGCAAUCCUCCUGCCUCAGCCUCCUGAGCAGCUGGAA
rnacentral:lncRNA from 1 species